rfam:Oryza barthii chromosome 5, whole genome shotgun sequence.
AAAAAGUCAAACCCUAUAUUUCCGUGUCCAACUUUAACUGUCCGUCUUAAUAUCCGUCUUAAUGAAAUUUUUUUAUAAUUCGUAUUUUUAUUAGUGUUAGAUGAUAAAACAUGAUUAAUAUUUUAUGUGUGACUUGUCUUUUUAAUUUUUUCAUAUUUUUUUCAAAUAAGACGGACGGUCAAACGUUGAGCACAGAAAUCAGGGUUUGUCUUUUU